ACGGAAGGCAGCAGUGAGGAAUAUUGGUCAAUGGGCGGAAGCCUGAGCCAGCCAAGUCGCGUGAAGGAAGAAGGUAUUAUGUAUUGUAAACUUCUUUAGCAGCAGAGAAAUAAGGUGGACGUGUCCACUGAUGCUAGUAUGCUGAGAAUAAGCAUCGGCUAACUCCGUGCCAGCAGCCGCGGUAAUACGGAGGAUGCGAGCGUUAUCCGGAUUUAUUGGGUUUAAAGGGUGCGCAGGCGGUCUUUUAAGUCAGUGGUCAAAUCGUGGUGCUCAACGCCAUCCCGCCAUUGAUACUGGGAGACUUGAUUGCGGUUGGGGUAGGCGGAAUUCGUCGUGUAGCGGUGAAAUGCAUAGAUAUGACGAAGAACACCGAUUGCGUAGGCAGCUUACCAAGCCGUAAAUGACGCUCAUGCACGAAAGUGCGGGGAUCGAACAGGAUUAGAUACCCUGGUA
rnacentral:rRNA from 1 species